GACGAACGCUGGCGGCGUGCUUAACACAUGCAAGUCGAACGAAAAUACCAAGCUUGCUUGGUUGAUUAGUGGCGAACGGGUGAGUAACACGUGAGUAACCUGCCCCUUACUUUCCUGGAUAACUGCUCGAAAGGGUAGCUAAUACGGGAUAUUCUGACCAGCCUGCAUGGGUUGGUUUGGAAAGGUUGUUUUUCUGGUAAGGGAUGGGCUCGCGGCCUAUCAGCUUGUUGGUGGGGUGAUGGCCUACCAAGGCUUUGACGGGUAGCCGGCCUGAGAGGGUGGACGGUCACACUGGGACUGAGAUACGGCCCAGACUCCUACGGGAGGCAGCAGUGGGGAAUAUUGCACAAUGAGCGCAAGCCUGAUGCAGCGACGCCGCGUGAGGGAGGAAGGCCUUCGGGUUGUAAACCUCUUUCGUCAGGGAACAAGGCACUGCUUUUGUGGUGGUGUUGAGGGUACCUGGAUAAGAAGCGCCGGCUAACUACGUG
rnacentral:rRNA from 1 species